rnacentral:piRNA from 1 species
UGCCCCAUGGGAGUGUUCUCACCCUUGAGC